AACGAACGCUGGCGGCAUGCCUAACACAUGCAAGUCGAACGAGACCUUCGGGUCUAGUGGCGCACGGGUGCGUAACGCGUGGGAACCUGCCCUUAGGUUCGGAAUAACUCCCCGAAAGGGGUGCUAAUACCGGAUAAUGUCUUCGGACCAAAGAUUUAUCGCCUUUGGAUGGGCCCGCGUUGGAUUAGCUAGUUGGUAGGGUAAAAGCCUACCAAGGCGACGAUCCAUAGCUGGUCUGAGAGGAUGAUCAGCCACACUGGGACUGAGACACGGCCCAGACUCCUACGAGAGGCAGCAGUGGGGAAUAUUGGACAAUGGGCGAAAGCCUGAUCCAGCAAUGCCGCGAGAGUGAUGAAGGCCUUAGGGUUGUAAAGCUCUUUUACCCGGGAUGAUAAUGACAGUACCGGGAGAAUAAACUCCGGCUAACUCCGU
rnacentral:rRNA from 1 species